AGCUGAUGAUGUGGACAGUCCCAAAAAAGAGCUUUGAACCUCUCCCAAGCAUGAUAUAAGUUCUCAUCUGGCUUCUGUUUGAAGCUCACAAUCUCAAUGCAUAGUCU
rnacentral:snoRNA from 1 species